GUGAUAAUUUCCAAACCUCUGGCUUACAUGUGUUGUGGCUGCUCUUAUUUUGCAGUUCUUUCCAAGCACCUUUCAUUGCUAAACGUCUGUUCUUUGAUUUUAAUUGGUCAUGGUUUUACAUAUCAUUUUCUUCAUGCACUAAUGUCUACUCAUUGUAGCUUUUCAACAUGCAUUUAAGAUCUUUCUAUUUGAUUACUUACAUUAGAUAAGUGCAUAGUUUUGAUUUAUAAGCCUAAGAUUCCUGUUGCUUCUAAUCUAUUGUCUAUCAAAACAAAUAAAAUUCAAAAAAAAAAAAAAAAAGGCGGGUGGUGGUGGCGGCAUACGCCUUUAAUGCCAGCUUGGGAAGCAGAGGCAGGCAGAUUUGUGAGAUGGAGGCCAGCCUGGUCUACAAAGUGAGUUCCAGGACAGCCAGGGAUAUACUGACAAACCCUGUCUCGAAAGAACAACAACAACAAAAACAAAAUUCAGUUGAUAUGAACUAUAGUACUGGGAGAGAAAUAGGGAGUCAUCCUCUGGAGCUUGCCUAGGAAUGUGUGGAACUCUUUAAUUGGAUUUAUGCCUUUAACAUCAGUUACAGGUGACUUGGAUGUGACACCUUAGUCAAAACAAUCAGCCUUCAGUGCAUGUUUGAAGGAACUAAGACCCAGAAAUGAAGUUAUGUGCUCAAACUCAUUAGUGAAGUCAACAUAUUAAUCAGGUUUCCUUUGAAGACCAGAUAUUCCUACCUUUAAUCAUAAUGAAGAAAAGCACUGUGCCUUAUAGAUAAUACAUUUUUAUUAUUUUAUUUUGCUUAAUACAAGAUUGGCUUUUGCCCUCAUGCCCCUUCCCUUCUCUUCCUUCCUUCUGAAAAAAUUUCUGAAUAUGCCUUGGGGAUCACCGUUAAUUUUUUGUUGAUCUUUUUGUUUGUUUUAGAAGGAUACUAUAUUCUUGUGGUCUUUUAACUAUACAAGAAGGCAACCCUAAGCCCACCCUUCUUAUUUCUUCUUAAAUUUCCUAUAGGGUAUCUUUUUUUUCUGUCAAUGUUUGGUUUUGAUCCCCAUAAUUUAAAAGGAAAAUGGAAACCAAACCUUAGUACUUAGUUUUAAAAUUCAUUUGGAAAUUACAUAAAAUAGUACCUGUGGCACCAUUAUAAACUAUGCAACCAUCAAAAGUACACAGGAAAGACUGGAGAAUAAAUUCAAGAAGACAUUGCAGGGUGGAGAGUAAGAAAGCAGAUUAUAAGGCAAUUAUAAAUAAUUUUCCUGGAAGGUAACAAAGAUUAAAAAUAUUCCUUAUUUGGAUAUCUAUAAACUUUUAUAAUGUUACAGAGUUAUAUGUGGCAUGAUAAGCUUCAUAAGGCUCUGCAAGAACUCAAGGUAAUGAACAUUUUGUCAGUUUCUGAUAUUCCUCCAGGAUAUAAGCAGGUAACAUCAACUUACCAAAAAGACUGUUAUCCAUAGACUGUCACAUUGCUUAAUGAAUGGUUUGUUGGUUCUCUUCUAAGGAUGAAUAUAUCGCCCUCUGAGAAUCAUAAACACCAUUUUUAGUUCCCUUGUCAUUUAAGGUUUUUCUGAAAUCUCCAAGUGACAGUUGGAAUACUUGAUGAUCUCAAUCACACUCUUGUGCAUAGAUUUCUGCUUUUUAUUUAUAUAUUAUCCCUAGUGUCAUUGCUUUUGUUCAGAGUUCUGACUUCAGCAGGAGUUUCCUUUUCCCUCACUGUAAUAUUGGGAAUGGCCCCUUGUGUUCCACAAUUCAGUAGCUGAUCACGAGUUCCACUGUUUAAUUACAAUAACCAGGUUUUUUUAAAUAGCCGCAGUUAUUCUAUGGUCUUCAGAUAUAUCCUUUGCUUCAAAACCAGACAUUAAUAGCAUUCUUGGUAGAACUGGUUAUAUCUGUGGGCAAGAAAUGGGAAACACAUGGUAUCAUUUGAGACUUUCUUGACUUCUUGUAUAGAGCUGAAGCUAUCCAUUGCUAUAAAAUUCCAUUCCUGGUAUUUAAAGGACAUAACUAAAAUUCCAUUUGAGUGUAAUAGGAUAUUGCCCAUGUAGUGGUGAUGUCUUAGUUUCAUUGUCUUGGAAAUGAAGAAAAGCAGGGCUGUCUUUGAAUCAUUGUAAAUGGUAGUCCACGUCCCUGGAGAAUUUACUUCUCACUAAACGC
rnacentral:lncRNA from 1 species